CUUGUUUACGUUGCAAAGGUGAAGACACUUCCUGGUUUAGAAACUGGUACGUUUACAAGUCAUUCGGGACAUUUCAUGUCCAAUUUGACUGAAUCUCACGAUCAAAGCUCUACUCCUCCCACAAAGAAGCGGAAAAUCGACGCCACUACGGGUGCCAAUUGUACUAGUACAGUCGUGCCUUCAAACACCGAAGACUUAACUGACAGUGUUGCUAAUCUCCAAGGCAAGGUGGAAAUGGCCGAGAAUGGAGUUAAGAAUGGGAAAGGAUCUGAUGACAUAGAUGAAAGUCUAUACUCCAGACAGUUGUAUGUACUGGGCCAUGAUGCUAUGCGUCGGAUGCAGAAUUCCAAAGUUCUUAUAUCUGGUCUGGGAGGUCUCGGCGUAGAGAUUGCAAAGAAUGUAGUCCUCGGUGGUGUGAAGGCAUUGACGUUACAUGACACGGAAAAUACUUCCUGGGCAGAUCUAUCCUCACAGUUCUUCCUCAGAGAAGCAGACAUUGGAAAGAACCGAGCUGAAGUGACCCAUCCACGACUUUCUGAGCUAAACUCUUACGUACCUGUGAAUGCCUAUACUGGGGCCCUUACUGACAAAUAUGUCAGCCAAUUCCAGGUUGUUGUACUGACCAAUAGCAGUUUAGAUGACCAAAUAAGGAUAGGGGAGGUUUGCCAUAGCAAUGAUGUUGCAUUCAUUGUAGCAGACACUAGAGGCCUGUUUGGACAAAUCUUCUGUGACUUUGGUAAAGCAUUCAAUGUGAUUGACACAAAUGGAGAGCAGCCAAUCUCAAACAUGAUUUCAGCCAUUGCUAAGGAUGAGAAUGCUGUCGUCACAUGCAUGGAUGAAACACGUCACGGAUAUGAAUCUGGAGAUUAUGUAACAUUUUCUGAGAUCCAGGGGAUGACCGAACUAAAUGGCUGUGAGCCUAGAAAGAUUGAAGUCCUGGGUCCAUAUACAUUUAGUAUUGGUGACACAUCUGGGUUCAGUGACUAUGUGAGAGGUGGUACAGUUAUUCAAGUGAAAAUGCCAAAGACAAUUUCAUUUAAAUCCAUCAAAGAAUCCUUAGCUGCCCCAGAGUUUGUGAUGACAGACUUUGCCAAGUGGGAGCAACCUGGUCAGCUGCAUGUAGGCUUCCAGGCCCUGCAUGAGUACCAAAAGAAAAAUGGAUCCCUGCCUAAACCCAGGUGUAAGGGUGACGCAGAUGCAUUUGUUGCACUGGCGAAGGAAGUGAAUAGCAGCUCUGCAGCAAAGUUGGAUGAGCUAGAUGAAAAAUACAUGCGGGAACUGUCUUACUCUGCAAUGGGCAAUAUAUGUGCUAUGCAGGCUGUCAUUGGUGGAAUCUCGGCACAAGAAGUUAUGAAGGCUUGCAGUGGUAAAUUCAACCCAAUUCAACAGUGGCUCUACUUCGAUGCCUUGGAAUGUUUACCAGAAAAUGCAGAUGAAGUUUUAACGGAAGAGUCUUGCAAACCUAGGAAUAGUCGCUACGACUCUCAAAUUGCAGUAUUUGGAGAAGAAUUCCAGAAAACUCUUGGAAAUCUCAAAUAUUUCCUGGUUGGGGCUGGAGCUAUUGGCUGUGAGAUGCUGAAGAACUGGGCUAUGAUUGGUCUAGGCUGUGGUGAUGGCAAUGUCUGGGUCACUGAUAUGGACAUCAUAGAGAAAUCUAACCUCAACAGACAGUUCCUCUUCCGGUCCUGGGAUGUACAGAAACAUAAGUCUGCAACUGCCGCUAAUGCUGCUAAAGCCAUGAAUCCUAGCUUCAACAUUACGCACCAGGAAAACAGAGUCGGGCCUGACACAGAGAAUAUUUACAAUGAUGACUUCUUUGAAUCUUUAUCAGGAGUUGCUAAUGCUUUGGACAAUGUGGAUGCAAGGAUGUACAUGGACAGAAGAUGUGUGUACUACCGUAAACCUCUGCUGGAGUCAGGUACACUUGGCACAAAAGGCAACAUCCAGGUUGUCAUUCCUCAUCUCACAGAGUCUUACAGUUCCUCUCAGGAUCCCCCUGAGAAAUCAAUUCCAAUAUGUACCCUCAAGAAUUUCCCAAAUGCAAUAGAACACACACUACAGUGGGCUAGGGACCAGUUUGAAGGUGUGUUUACGCAGCCCAUGGAGGCAGCCUUGCAGUAUAUCAGUGACCCAAAGUUCAUGGAACGUACACUAAAACAACCAGGGACUCAACCUUUGGAGACAUUAGAUGCCUUGAAAAAAGCACUUGUAGAUCACAGACCCAAUGACUUUGAAGGCUGUGUUAAAGCAGCCAGGGUGUCUUUCCAAGAAAACUUCAGCAAUCAGAUAAGACAGUUGCUCUUCAACUUUCCCCCAGAUCAGACUACCAGUUCAGGCGCCCCCUUUUGGUCAGGUCCAAAGCGAUGUCCACACAAUAUUGAAUUUGAUGUCAGUAAUGCUCUUCAUUUAGAUUACGUUGUAUCAUAUGCCAACUUGAGAGCAGAGAUGUAUGGCAUACCUCAGGUACGCGACAGGUCUGCUAUUGCUGACAUCGUGUCCAAGAUUGUUCUCCCAGUGUUCACUCCAAAGUCGGGAGUAAAGAUUGAUGUCACGGAUGCUGAGGCAGAUGCCAGGCGUAAUGAUGGCUCAUUGGAUGAAUCUUCCCUUGAAACUGUAAAGAAAUCACUACCUGAUAAAAUGUCACUCAAAGGAACCAGGUUUGUGCCAAUAGAAUUUGAGAAAGAUGAUGACACCAACUUCCACAUGGAUUUCAUCGUAGCUUGUUCCAAUUUGCGAGCAGAGAACUAUGGGAUUGCUCCUGCUGAUAGACAUCAGAGUAAGCUGAUUGCGGGAAAGAUUAUUCCAGCAAUUGCCACAACAACAGCUAUGGUUGUUGGUUUUGUCACACUUGAGUUAUUUAAGCUUGUCCAGCAACAUAAGAAACUUGAAAAGUAUAAAAAUGGGUUUGUCAAUCUGGCUCUUCCCUUCUUUGGCUUCUCAGAACCUAUAGAGGCACCAAAAAAUAAGUAUUACGAUACAGAAUUCUCCCUAUGGGAUCGCUUUGAGAUUGAAGGUGAUAUAACCCUACAGGAGUUCAUAGACUACUUUCAGGAAAAGCAGAAACUGGAGAUCACCAUGCUGUCACAGGGUGUCUGUAUGCUUUAUUCCUUCUUCAUGGCCCCUGCCAAAAGAAAAGAACGCCUGGGAAUGACCAUGACUGAAGUUGUAACAAAAGUCUCUAAGAAGAAGAUUCCACCUCAUGUGAAGGCCCUUGUGUUUGAACUAUGUUGUAAUGACACAGAUGGUGAAGAUGUUGAGGUCCCCUAUGUCAACUACAAAUUCGCAAGUUAGAUGGCGCUGUUUUCAUGAAGCGGCCAUGUUGGAUUUGAAUAGAAACUGACUAUUUAUAGAGGCAUUUGUAAAAUGCUGAAAACUUCUUCAGUUAUUUAUGGGAUGUACCUGGCUAAAUAACAGACAUCCAAUUCCAGAGUGACUCAUAUCAACUCCUCUGCUGAUAUGGAGAAUUCUCUUGUUUGGAAAAGUAUAGUGGACUACCCAAUCAUGAUGAUUAUCUUGCUGUCAGACAAAUAUGCUGUUAAAAACUGUGGAUUUUAUGCCAAUAGAAUAUAUGUGUUCUUAAUUGUUAUUAGGAUCCUAUAGUGCAACUGUCCUAUGAUACAUGUAUUUCCUUUUUGAUCUGUUGUUAGAAUUAUUUUCAAAACUGGUAUUUAAUAAAAAUGGAAUGACGUGUUAUUUAUUAUGUAAUGAUAUGAGCUGGAAUUGUAACAGUUGGCCACCAAUGAUGUUAUUCUGAUGUAACCAUGGGGUGUUGACAUUUUCUAAAUACAAUAUGGCCUUGUAAGGCCUUAUGACGUACAAUUCAUAUAUUCAUGUCAGUUACUUUGUUGUAUGUUCUUUCUUUCUUUGCAAUGUUGAACUGUUACCAUGUAUGUUUACUUCCUAUUGGUUUUAAUAUUGAAUUGGCUACCUGAUGUAUAUUUUAAUUAUUGUUUGUAAUCCAUAAGUUACAGUUUAUGUUACCUCUACAAGUUGAUUGUCUGUUAGGCUGGAAUUUUAUGAAAAGGAAAAAUGCAAAACUGGCUUAACAAACAUUUAAUUUGUUUAGACUUUAUUGUUGGCACAGUUUCUAUGUCACAUUGUUUUUGUAUUCUUUUCUUUAAAGUCUGAUUGUAUAACAACUUGGAGGUUAACAUCCUGCAGUCUGCGACAACUAUUUAUAGACUGUUUAUAUAUUGCCAAAUUGGCUCUUGAAGCCAAGUGAGUAGGUUUGAAAAAUGAAAUAUAAAAGUACUAGAAAUAUCA
rnacentral:misc_RNA from 1 species